rnacentral:rRNA from 1 species
AGAAUCAACGCUGGCGGCGUGCCUAACACAUGCAAGUCGAACGAGAAAGUGGAGCAAUCCAUGAGUAAAGUGGCGCACGGGUGAGUAACACGUGACUAACCUACCCUUGAGUGGGGGAUAACCUAGGGAAACCUGGGCUAAUACCGCAUAAUACCUUCGGGUCAAAGGAGCAAUUCGCUUAAGGAGGGGUCGCGGCCGAUUAGUUAGUUGGCGGGGUAAUGGCCCACCAAGACUAUGAUCGGUAUCCGGCCUGAGAGGGCGCGACGGACGACGACUGGAACUGAACACGGUCCAGACUCCUACGGGAGGCAGCAGUGGGGAAUUUUGCGCAAUGGGGGAAACCCUGACGCAGCAACGCCGCGUGGAGGAUGAAGUCCCUUGGGACGUAAACUCCUUUCGAUCGGGACGAUUAUGACGGUACCGAGAGAAGAAGCCCCGGCUAACUUCGUGCCAGCAGCCGC